CUAUACCUUUUUAAAAGUGACUUUCAAGCCAUCCAUUUUAAUGCUCCUUUUUAUCAAGGGAAUAUCACUAAGUGCUUCUGAUGCAUACCUAUUUGCUUCAAUCUUCUGUUUAGUUACACUAGUUUUAUGAACUACACCUUAUAAUGUCCUUCUGGCUCGACAAUCAAUCAGAGUAUUAAAUGGAUUGAGCAUCUGCCCUCAGUAUUAUUAUUCUUGAUAGAAAAAUGAUUACCAAAUGUAUAACUAUGAGUUCACCUUUCAACAUUCAUUUAAUCAAGAUAAGUAAUUACCCUAGCAGGCAGUAAUUAGGUAAUUAGUAAAACUAGUUAAUACAAAUCACAUAUUAAUAUAACCAAAUAAAUGCUAGUAUAAUUUUUGUAAUUAUUAUGGCAUAUAGGUCCACCUGAUUUUUUUUUUAGUAAAAGACACAUAAUUUCUAAACUAUGUAUUGCACAAUUUCCACUUGCAUGUGGGAAUGCCUUUUGACAUCUGUGACCCUGCAGAGUAAAAAGGAGAUUGAGACAAUUAUCUCGGGUACUGAAGCAAAAGCCUGCUUGCACUAAAAUUAUCUGCCUAGUCUUUGCCUGAUUUUCUCUAAAUGGUUGCUCCAUUUAAAAAAAAAACCACCUUAUAGCAUUGUGCCUAAAUAUCCUUCUCUGUUUAGAAAAUGGAAAUACGGUAUUCUAAGAAUAAUUUACUCAAGAUAGACAAAUACUAUGCACAUAUGCAGAGUGUUCUCUGAUUCUGUAAUAUAAUGCUAGCUUUGAUACUUCUCUCCCCCAAGAGAAAAGAUGUAUCAUUAUCAAUAUCACCCCGUGGAUUCCCCAUCCCCUGCUCACACACAUAACCUAAAUCAAUUGUAAUGAAUAAACAUAUUCAUGAGAAAAAGUAAAUAUCUCUUGAUAUUGUGGUACACACACACAUAUGCACACAACACUAAUCUAUGUCUGUAUUUUCAGUGGCAGAUUAUUAAACAGCAUAUCCUGUGAUGGUUUUACUCAAAACGGUUACCAAUCAUAGCAUACUCCUGUGAUAGAUAUUGAUCCAUACCCAGGAUAUGUAACAAUUUGUGAAGAAUAUGUAGGAAAACUUUUGUUUCCCCCUAACAAUGAAUGGCCAACUGAUUUAUAAAGCCUGUAGGCCAACUAUGACCAGUUAAUGCCCAAUGCCAGCAGCAUGAAAAAUAAUUUGCAAACUUCCUCAUUGGAGUCUGGUUUGUGGUUCUCUUGUUUGAGUUAACUUAAUACUCCAUUAGAUUUCAUUACUGUCCAUGAACAUAAGAUAACAUAUUUGAGGUCUAGGCUUUAAAUGGCAGAAACUCUGUCUCAAUCAGUAACAACCUGUAAUCCCAGGACUUUGGGAGGCCGAGACAGGUGGAUCAUGAGGUCAGGAGAUCGAGACCAUCCUGGCUAACAUGGUGAAACCCCGUCUCUACUAAAAAAUACAAAAAACUAGCCGGGCGAGGUGGCGGGCGCCUGUAGUCCCAGCUACUCGGGAGGCUGAGGCAGCAGAAUGGUGUGAACCCGGGAGGCGGAGCUUGCAGUGAGCUGAGAUCCGGCCACUGCACUCCAGCCUGGGUGACAGAGCGAGACUCCAUCUCAAAAAAAAAAAAAAAAAAAA
rnacentral:lncRNA from 1 species